rnacentral:rRNA from 1 species
GACGAACGCUGGCGGCGUGCCUAAUACAUGCAAGUAGAACGCUGAAGCGAGGAGCUUGCUCGUCUUGCAUGAGUCGCGAACGGGUGAGUAACGCGUAGGUAACCUGCCUUGUAGCGGGGGAUAACUAUUGGAAACGAUAGCUAAUACCGCAUAACAAUGGAUGACACAUGUUUUUUAUGUGAAAGCGGCAAUUGCUCCACUACAAGAUGGACCUGCGUUGUAUUAGGUAGUUGGUGAGGUAAUGGCUCACCUAGGGGACGAUACAUCGCCGGCCUGAGAGGGUGGUUGGCCACACUGGGACUGGGACACGGCCCAGACUCCCUCGGGUGGCAGCAGGAGGGAAUCUUCGGCAAUUGGGGCAACCCUGACCGAGCAACGCCGCGUUGGUCUAGAAGGUUUUCGGGUCGUAAAGCUCUGUUAUAAGUCAAGAACGGGUGUUAGAGUUGAAUGUUCACACUUUGACGGUAGCUUACCAGAAAGGGCCGGCUAACUACGUG